AGAUCGGGGAAUAACAAAUGUUUCUAAGAUUCUAAAAAAGAAAAAUUAGGGGAAGGAAGGAACAAAAUUGAAGGUUUGGAUGAAACGAAGAAAGGGGAAAAUUCAAGUUAAAUUGAAAAUUAGAAAUUAGAGGAUGAUUAGCAGCAGCCAGAUUAAUUUUGUCAUGUAGAUAAGAUCAUGAAGCUUUGAAUUGGUCUUCUUAAUCUAAUUUUAGGAUGUUUAAAUUGAAAUUGAAACGAAGAAUUUGAAAGGCUCUUGACGAUCAUUCUCCUCUGUCUUCGCUGAUUUUCUCUCCGUGUUUUUACAGACCAUCCAAGGCAGGUUACAACGAAUCCGCCAUAGCCAUGGAGAAUCAGAGCAGCGCCUGUCUGUCCUACGAGAAGCUUAACGGCGUCGCCACCUGGCUCGGCACCAGCGUCGCCUCCGCCUUCUUCGCCUCUCUCGAGCGCUGUUCCUGCAUCAAUCUCUCAACCUCCGACGACCAUGAAGAUCCCGAUGAGGCUCACGAUCGCCCUCUCAUGUACUGCACUUCCACUUCUUCCUCUGUCAUUCGCAGCUUCGAACCGCUUCCUCCGCCGGUCAAUGACGUUGCCAAUCUCCCCGUCUGAGCGUCGUUCUCCAUGGAUCUGAGAGCAGGAACAUGGGCACACACAGCUUGGUUACCAGAAAGCUUUCACAGAAAAGGCAGAAGACAGCAGAAGAAGAACAAGUAAACUGCAAAUAUGCACUUUUUAUUCACUAUUUAAAUAGCACAUUCAAUGUAGAAAGAAUAUUUGGAUAUCUCUUUUUCUCUUUUUGUGUUCAUCUUGUAAUCAGUUGGUUUCUUAACUGUAAACUCCUGCAAAGUAAAUGAAUAAUUUAUUUGUCUCAAA